GGGGAUGACUGGAUUCGACGCUGGUUACAAACCCUGCGGUGCAUGUCGAGAGCGCUUGGUAUCUCGUAAAUAAAACCUUGCAACAUAUAGUCGCAAACGACGAAAACUACGCACUAGCGGCCUAAAUCCCGCUUACACUGAGCACCAGAUGCCUGUAAAUGGUUGCAAAGUGGCACGCAGAACAGGAUCGUGUGGAACUCUCUCUCGCGGGUAAAGCACUAAAACUUAAUCGAGAUCGCCCCAGGCACCCUGACU
rnacentral:tmRNA from 1 species